rnacentral:lncRNA from 10 species
GAAAGACAGGAAGGAAAUCACUGAAAGGGAAGGGUUUCAGCAAUGUGGAAUUUGGCUAAAUGGAGACUGAGGUUAGGAGCACCUCAGAGGCAAUAGAGGAAAUGAUACUGCAAACUAUCACUCAUCAAGAACAGCAGUGUGAGAGCUACUGUGCCAGCACAAUCCCUGGCAUCUGUGAGCCCCACGGUAAGCCUGCUGGGGGCCAAGACCUAGAAGCAAGGAAAUAAAAUUGGUAUCUGAUCUCGGAAGUGAAGCCAAAGUUCAGCUUAGCAGAAGCAGCAAGUUUUCCCCUAAGGAAGUGAAGGAAAGCUCCAUGGUGGCUACUUCAAGGAUCCAGGCAGUGGCCACAAGGUCCUCAACUAGAGAGAAGAGAAAAGAAGGAAGCAAUACUGUGAGGAGAUACUGAGUUAGUGCCAGGCAGGAGCGUGGGGAAGACUCAAGGCACAGCCAAGCUCAAGUCUCAGAUUUGACCUGGGUAAUUCUGGGACAUAGUGGUGCCAAGAACCAAGAUGGAGACAUCAGAGGAAGGGCUGAUUUGGGAGCAUGGUGACGGUUACUCUGGCGCCUUGUUGAAUGAGAGGUACAGGAAGGCACAUUGGGAAGCUGCCUGGAGGUGAGUAGAACUGCAGGUCUAGAUCUUGGACAGUGACAGUGGACUGGGCUGAAAAUGCUGACUUCAGGGAUUGGAAGCCAUUAGAGGUGUUGAGGACGCCAAGACGGAGAGAGCAAAGCAUGAAGGAAAACACCAGAACACUGCCAGUACCAGUAUUUGGAGGGUUAUCUUGAGAAAGUGGAACAAGAGAAACCAAUUCGAAGGAAAGACCUUAGAAGACCUUUCUGACUCCAGGACUCAAGGAAAACCCUAAGUAGAAGGAUGGGGAUAAAGAGUCACUCUGCCCAAAACUCAUCUCCUCCAACUCUAUGAAGGGCCUUGCAGACCUUUCCUCAUUAGUUCCAGUUGCCAGUCACUUCUGCUGGUGCAAAUUCUAUCCCUGGUUGCAUUGGAAACCCCCAUGGAGACAGGGACCUGUGACAUCAGUGGUAGUCUUGACACGUAUAGCUCAGUGCAUGCAAAGAAUGUUGGUUGAGUGAAUGUAUAAAAUAGGUGAAAACAUAUAAACAUGUCUGAAAGCAGUGGAAAAUGGAGCUGCCCUGAGAGCUGAGGGCCUGGAACCUCUGGUUGGCUGCCUUUCUCUUGUCCUUUCCAUCAAACUCCAAAAAGAAAGUUCCAAAGCCACUCAUCUUCCCCAACAUUUUCAUGAUACCACAGAGGCCUGGAGAGGGAAGUGGCUUUCCAAGGGUGACGCAAAGGGUCAAUGUCAGAAACGGGUCUGGACCUGGGAGUGAGUGCCCAGUAGUUCCGCUCCAUGCCCACCAGUGCCCAGAGUUCUCACUAAGGAACAGGAGAAGAAGGAAGGAGCAACAAGGGCUUAGAGGGCCUUCCUCAUGUAGACUCACUUGCCCCUGGAAAGCGGCUCUGGCCAUGGCGGCUGGAUGCCUGGGGAGGACAAGCUACGGAUGGCCGGCACAAGCCUGGAGGCCCGCCGAGCGCCAGGCUGGCUGAGGCCCCUCCCUUGGCAGCGGCGGCACCUCUGGGACCUUGCGGUGGGCUGAGCUCCUUGCAGACCCAGGGUCUAAGGGAGGAGGGGAAGGCAAGGAGACAUUGCUGUGGUUUUGCGGCCAAGGAGGGAACGUACUUAGGAUAUUUAGGGGAUGGACAGGGAACCGGCUCCACUUCCCUGCAGCCUCUGCCUGCCAGCGCUCACCCACUGGAACAUGCCAUUUGAGAAAUGUCUUCAUUUUCUCUGUCAUUGGCCAGGUUCCCGCCACACUCGUUGGGAGCGGGAAGAGGGGGGCAGGAGAGGGAAGGUAGGGGUCAUAGACCGGAGCGAAGGAUUGGAAAACUGGCUCCUAAGAGCUCUCUGCACAAAGAAAACACCAUGGGUCCUGCCAAAUCUGCCCGCUGCAUGGUCUGACACCCACACGUGGCCCCCUGAGCUCCCUCCCGCCAUCCCACAGGAAGUCCCAUUUCUCCCUGGCCCAUGGCCCGAUGGGGGCACACCUCGAACCGAGGCCCAACCUGCAGAGCGGGCUCCAUCCACCCAGCCAUUUUAGGGAGGGUGGCAACAUUCUGCACAAGAGCCGAGUUCAGCUGGGCACCUCCCCUGCCAACAGUAAGCCUCUCAAGUCGGUCUUUAUUUUUAUAGACCACGGCUUAAAGGCCCCAGCCACUGUGAGUCCUGGUUUCCUUGCUUAUUUGUAAUUUUUAAACAACUUGAUUUAUUGCUUGGAAGCCUCUGAAUGUAUUCAUAGACACAGAAUUACAGAAAUAUCAGAGCUGGGGAAGAAAAUGCCAGAGCUGCCUUUGUCCAACUGCCUAAUUUUACAGAUGGAGAAACUGAGGCUCAAGGGGGCAUUCACUGGGAAAUUUAGACAUCUAGAAAUAAAAUGCAGAUUAAUAUAAAAAACUUUUGCUAUUGGUGGGAGAUGGUUGGCUGUGGGCGACAGAAAUAGGCUUUAGAAACAAGUGGACUUUUGUUCAAUUCCUGGCUUUGUCACUUUAGCUGCAUUUUCUUGGAAAAGCUAUUUAACCUCUCUGCACCUCAGCCUUCUCAUGUGGAAAAUGGAAAACAGUAUGCCCAUCCCUAUAUGAGGAUAAUGGAUACAAAAUGCCACCCACAGCACCUGGCGCCCACAAAUGCCUAAAUUUAGAAGCUGGCAAUUGCACUCAUUUAGGAUUUUA